rnacentral:rRNA from 1 species
GACGAACGCUGGCGGCGUGCUUAACACAUGCAAGUCGAACGGAAAGGCCCUGCUUUUGUGGGGUGCUCGAGUGGCGAACGGGUGAGUAACACGUGAGUAACCUGCCCUUGACUUUGGGAUAACUUCAGGAAACUGGGGCUAAUACCGGAUAGGAGCUCCUGCUGCAUGGUGGGGGUUGGAACGUCUCGGCGGUUGGGGAUGGACUCGCGGCUUAUCAGCUUGUUGGUGGGGUAGUGGCUUACCAAGGCUUUGACGGGUAGCCGGCCUGAGAGGGUGACCGGCCACAUUGGGACUGAGAUACGGCCCAGACUCCUACGGGAGGCAACAGUGGGGAGUAUUGCACAAUGGGCGGAAGCCUGAUGCAGCAACGCCGCGUGCGGGAUGACGGCCUUCGGGUUGUGAACCGCUUUCGCCUGUGACGAAGCGUGAGUGACGGUAAUGGGUAAAGAAGCACCGGCUAACUACGUG